CAGGCCUAACACAUGCAAGUCGAGCGGGCCCUUCGGGGUCAGCGGCGGACGGGUGAGUAACGCGUGGGAACGUGCCUUCUGGUCUGGAAUAACCCUGGGAAACUAGGGCUAAUACCGGAUACGCCCUUUUGGGGAAAGGUUUACUGCCGGAAGAUCGGCCCGCGUCUGAUUAGCUAGUUGGUGGGGUAACGGCCUACCAAGGCGACGAUCAGUAGCUGGUCUGAGAGGAUGAUCAGCCACACUGGGACUGAGACACGGCCCAGACUCCUACGGGAGGCAGCAGUGGGGAAUAUUGGACAAUGGGCGCAAGCCUGAUCCAGCCAUGCCGCGUGAGUGAUGAAGGCCUUAGGGUUGUAAAGCUCUUUUAUCCGGGACGAUAAUGACGGUACCGGAGGAAUAAGCCCCGGCUAACUUCGUGCCAGCAGCCGCGGUAAU
rnacentral:rRNA from 1 species